rnacentral:lncRNA from 1 species
UGUCAGCUUCCAGUAAGCAAACCUUCUCUUCAAGGCACAGAUUGCAUCUUGCUGCACCAGCCGUAUACGCACGGGCACGCUUUAGUAUGCUCCACUUGAUGUUGUAUUGCUUCCCGCUUUUCUUGAGUUUCUGCACGCAUACUUUGAUAACUCUGUUUCCGCUGAAUACCGAGGAACAGUUAGUGAUUUUUUAUGGUUGGCAUGCCUCUUCUUAAACGUCCCCGCCGUCAUUCCAAUGUACUCUUUAGUUUCUUCGCCG